AUGCCGAAGGACGGGAGGCGGCGCAGGAGGGGGAAUCCGGAGACGGAGACGGAAGCGAGGAAGAAGAGGAAGACCAAGAGAAGCGUGGCAGAGGAUCGAAGAUUGAUUUUCGCGGCAUUCGAGAGUGAAAAAGCAAAACCCCGACCAAAAUUAGAUCCUGUGUACGACGACGACGACGAUGCGGUCGAGUCCUCGUCGGAGGAAUCCUCCUCAUGUCCACCCAGCCCUCUCAUGUACAGACCCUACAUACCCGAUGAGCUAGCUGAUGACCCGGACCUACGUGCCGCCCUCAGGAUCGCCAACACCGAAUAUCAUGCAGAUAGAGUUCAUGCCUGUCCAACGACCGACGCCUUCUUCAUAUCCGCGAGCAUGCAAAGGAUGCCGUGCUUCUUGCCGCCGACUCUAUCAUCACCCUCUCGUCCUAUCUCGUUUACUUCAAUGGCAGAAGCAGACGACGAUGAGCCGUUGAAUACGUGUUGUGGUUUGUGGAUUCAACAUGACAUGAAGAAGAAAACUGCCGUGGUUUUGACGUCCGCGCAUCUGAUUCGCGCAAAGGAUCCAUCCGUGAGGAACCCGUGGAUGCUCGGGUCCACAUGCGAAUAUCAUCGCGAUGCUGAGGUCAUUGUUCACUUGUUGGACGGCGAAACUGCAGUAGCCACUCUCCUCUACCUCGAGGAGCACUAUGAAUUUGCUCUUUAUGAGGUUGUAGUGGACAAACCGGUUCAGUUGCCCACUUUUAACGACAACGUGCAUUCUGGUCAAGACGUUUUCCGACUUGGAAGAGAUGAAAGUCUUGAUCUGAGGAUAACACAUGGUAGGGUGGAAUAUGAAAUUCCAACCCGUCACGAGAGAUGUCACUACAUGUAUUUUUCCCACGAUGAACGUACAAGUUUGCAUGACGAUGGAGGCCCUGUCGUUGACUUAGAAGGCAAGGUUGUGGGAAUGGUUCACAAUCAAUUCAAAGAGACCUUUUUACCUUCUUCUAUAUUGCACAAGUGCUUGGAUUCGUGGAGAAAGUUGAAAUGCAUCCCUCGUGCCCACCUUGGAAUGACCUUUACUUCCAUCAAGCUUCUAGAUCCUAUUUGUAUUGAGAGGAUGAGGCGUAAGCAUAACAUUGCAUCUGGUCUUCUUGUUGAACAGGUGUCAAAAGAAUCGAAUGCUGAGAAACUUGGAAUCCGCAUGGGUGAUGUUAUUGAACGCUUCAAUGGAGAGUGUAUUUCUAAUACAACUGAGUUGGAAAAGAUGCUGCUGGAUAUAGGCGGAGACCAUUUUGAUCAAGCAAAAGUCUUAAAGGCCGAAACAGAUGUUCGAAUUCAAAUAUUCCAUGCCACAAAACGUUGCCGAAGAGUUAGAAAUUUGACCGUAACUGUAUCGGAUUGUGGAGAGGACAUCAUAGAAGAAUUUCUUGAAUUCUUCCUGCCCUUUGCUUCAUGGAAUGCACUUACCCUAUUACUGAUGGCCUUUGGAGAUGAGUGA
rnacentral:rRNA from 1 species